ensembl:snRNA LOC120098017 U2 spliceosomal RNA
AUCGCUUCUCGGCCUUUUGGCUAAGAUCAAGUGUAGUAUCUGAAAGUCCAACUUGAACCCCCA